rnacentral:pre_miRNA from 1 species
GAUAAGUUCAUUUCUUAGUUUUUUUAUAAUGUUUAACUCUUCAUCUUAUUUAAAAAAUUUUAUGAUUAAUAUUUUUAUUAUUAUUAUAUGAUAAAACAUGAAUAGUACUUUACGUAUGACAAAAUUUUUUGAGUUUUUUAAUAAAAUUUUUAAAUAAGACGGAUGGUCAAACGCUAGAUACAAAAAAAUAAAGUUUUUUUUGGA